AACGAACGCUGGCGGCAUGCCUAACACAUGCAAGUCGAACGAGACCUUCGGGUCUAGUGGCGCACGGGUGCGUAACGCGUGGGAACCUGCCUUUAGGUUCGGAAUAACUCAGAGAAAUUUGAGCUAAUACCGGAUAAUGUCUUCGGACCAAAGAUUUAUCGCCUUUAGAUGGGCCCGCGUUGGAUUAGCUAGUUGGUGGGUAAAGGCCUACCAAGGCGACGAUCCAUAGCUGGUCUGAGAGGAUGAUCAGCCACACUGGGACUGAGACACGGCCCAGACUCCUACGGGAGGCAGCAGUGGGGAAUAUUGGACAAUGGGCGAAAGCCUGAUCCAGCAAUGCCGCGUGAGUGAUGAAGGCCUUAGGGUUGUAAAGCUCUUUCGGCGGGGAAGAUAAUGACGGUACCGCAAGAAUAAGCCCCGGCUAACUUCGUGCCAGCAGCCGCGGUAAU
rnacentral:rRNA from 1 species